rnacentral:lncRNA from 1 species
UCAUGUUUCAGCAACCAAUAGAGACAGGGAAUUGAAUGCUGGGGAGAUGGUUGUAUGAGGAAUUGUGGAAAAGUGCUUUUCAAAUUGCUGAUUCAAGAUCUAAGAAGAGGCCCAGAUGAGAGAAAGAACAAAGGGCAGAAAAGGGAGCUUGGCUUGUGUGUUUCCAUGGCAGAGGAGCUGAGAGGAGCUUGUUAUUGGAAA